AUCUCUCUGAUUUGUUCGAUUAUGGUCAUUAUCCCAAAACCAUUUUGAUACUAACAGCAGGAAGCAGAGAAAAGUGUAAUUGUGCAUGACCACAUUAAAGUGGUACGCCUUACAAUACUUUCGAAGCUACCGCCUUUGACCACAGGGCUUAAGGGUAUGUCAACAAAUUCGACAAUUCGGAGAGAUU
rnacentral:other from 1 species